rnacentral:piRNA from 1 species
CUCAGUGAGAAUAAGGGAGGAGCUAGC